UCCUCGUUAGUAUAGUGGUUAGUGUCGCCGCCUAUCACGCGGCAGACCGUGGUUUGAUUCCCCGUCGGGGAG
rfam:Ciona savignyi cont_10235, whole genome shotgun sequence.